rnacentral:rRNA from 1 species
UACGGGAGGCAGCAGUGGGGAAUCUUGCACAAUGGAGGAAACUCUGAUGCAGCGAUGCCGCGUGAGUGAAGAAGGCCUUUGGGUUGUAAAGCUCUUUCGUCGGGGAAGAAAAUGACUGUACCCGAAUAA